UACGUAGGGUGCGAGCGUUGUCCGGAAUUAUUGGGCGUAAAGAGCUCGUAGGCGGUGUGUCGCGUCGGCCGUGAAAACCUGGGGCUUAACUCUGGGCGUGCGGUCGAUACGGGCAUCACUAGAGUUCGGCAGGGGAGACUGGAAUUCCUGGUGUAGCGGUGAAAUGCGCAGAUAUCAGGAGGAACACCGGUGGCGAAGGCGGGUCUCUGGGCCGAUAUUGACGCUGAGGAGCGAAAGCGUGGGGAGCGAACAGG
rnacentral:rRNA from 1 species